rnacentral:misc_RNA from 1 species
AUAGCAUCUGCAAGCAACUCGGCCCUUCUCUAUCUCCUUCAUUCAUUCCCUCCUUCCAUUCAGUACUUCCCUUCUCAGCUGUCUUUCUCUCUUUCACUGCUUAUUUCCCCGUUUCGGUGUCAGCGAGUGCGUUGAUGCUUUUUGCUUCUCUUCGGUGAUUCUCUCUCUCAGCCUUCCGCUGUCCUUCUCCUUACCGGCUCUGCCCAGACGUCGUCGUGUCUCGUCGUGUUCCAGUGGCACACAACAGUCCACAGCUCGCUUCGUCGACCCGCCGUUGCUAUCUUGUGUGCCUCCUCGAUCCUCCGCGCCUUCGACGCUCGCAAGGACGCAUAGCAAAGAGCAAUUUACAGCCAAGGCUUAAACAGGGGCGACGACGACAUCGGACGAGGGAACGUCAGCUCAGCAGAGCGAAUAACGGAAAACACAAAGAAUUGAACAGUGGACGAACGGGAAAUAAAUCAGCGGACGCAGGAGGAGAGACGAACCAACCAAACAAAAAGACCUGAGGAAGAAGGCAAACUCAGGAGGAAACGGAUACGACCUUCUCAACCGGUGAGAAGGAGCACAACGAGUUCAACUCCUCAUAACAGAGAGCGGAGGACGAACAGCGAAAGACAUCGAACUGACGAUCGAUAACCUCUGUUCUCUCUCGCGGCUUCUCCCAUAACACGUAUUAUUUGUGCGUUUUUCUCUCCUCACUCUCUCACUCUUUUCCAAACAGCGUCUUUUUCUUUUUAAAACCUGCUUUCAAACUCUUCUCAUUUUGUUUUCUGUUUUCUUCUUGUUUUCUGUCUCUCACCUGCCCUCGUCCCCCUUGUCCCUCCUCUCUCUCUAUCUCCGCCAUUCCGACCCACACUUCCUUGAUCUCUCCGAUCGGCAUUUGUUACACGCCGCCUCUUCUCCGGUGUUUCUUCACGUUUAUCUUUUUUUUCCUUCUCUUCCACUUUGGCUAUUUUCUUUUUUUUGCUUGCUUGUACAUUUUCUUCAGUUCUUUUUUUCUCUACUUCGCUUCCCUUCCCCUCCCUGGUGCGCGUUCUUCUGUUGUGAGGGCUCGUUCUCUUUUACUCCCUUAGACCUUCGUCACACCUUCGCUUCUUUUUUUUUUCGCCGUGGCUCUGUGCGUUCUUGUGCACCUUUUUUUUUUAGUCGUAAGCACGUAUACCCAAAAUCAUUCAUCCUUCGCUUCCCCUCCUUCACAUAUUUGUAUCAUCCUUUCUCUCUCCCCUCUGCCUGUCGUUUUUCUUCCUUUACGAAGCAAAAAAGAAAAAAGAAAACAGACACACAAGGGGGAAAAACGCCGAUAACCAAAACCGAAAACAAGUACACAUCGCCCUUCUUUUUCUUUCCUUUUCCCCCUUCCCUCUCUCCUCCUCCCCUUUCUCACACCCCAAAAAAAAAACAGCUGUUGGUUUUCUGUGCUUUCGUGUUUUUUGUUUUGCAUUUUUUCUGCUGACGGUAUCUUCCUAUUUGUUUUCCCCAGUUUUUCCCCUUUCCUUUGGCUACUGCGGCUUUGUGGCAUCACACAUCAUUAUCAUUCAUUCGUAUCUGGUAGUCUCCGCGCCGUGUUUAUUUUCUUUUUUUUUCUUCCCGUGUCUGUGUGUUCCCUCUCCAUCUAUCGCUGAUAUAUAUAUAUAUAUCCUGUUUUCUCAUCACCUCUACCUUCUCUCUUGCUACUUUGUUUCUUGAGUGGUCUUGACAGAUAUCACCUCUCACUCUCUCCCUGACGUGUGACCCGCUGUAUCUUGUUGAGAAGUUGGUGUGCUCUGCUCGUGCGCUCUUAUUCGCUUGUUUCUCUCGCUAUAUUGUUUUCUCCUCCCUCUCCCUCUCUGUCGGUCUCUAUCUGUGUCUGUGUGUGAGUGCGCUAUUCUAACCUGCUGUCACAUUUUACAACACUUCACUUCUGCUUUUUUCUUUCGUUUCUCGCGGGGGGGGGGUCUCCACAACUCUUUUCUUUCCGUGGCACUCACUGUUUCGAGUGUCUCCCCGUUUUUUUCUUUUCUUUCUACAUUUCCUUCGUGCCUGUGCGUCGCUUCGGUAUUUGUGCAUGCAUUGCUGUGGAGUACAACGUCUGCAGUUUCAUCUCUCUCAUUCUUGUCCUAUCUUUCACGCUUCCUCUUGGGCUUCUCUUCGUUUUCCUUUUUUUUGUGUUUCACACAUUUUAUUUGCCCUGGGAUUUUGUUGUUUUGCUUAUUCCUUUCCAUUUCUCUUUCGACGCGUCUUCCCUCCUGUGCGUGUGCUGGCGCACGUCUGCGUACUUGUGCCUCGCCGACCCCUCCUUAAGCUACUCAACAGUGAUUUCGAGUAACUUCUCGCUUUUUCUUUCCAUUUCUUGUUACUGAGAUCUCUGGCUCUGUUUGUGUAUUCACUCGUUUCUCUUCUCCGCUUUAUCUCCCUUUCUUGCGCACGAAGUACAUCUUCGUUCACAGAACCCGACCGCCCACCAUGCAGAACAGCCCCAUCAUUGCCAUGCGCUCGUCCCGCUGCCCUACGCAGAUGCAGUUCUACACGCCGAGCAGCACGAACCUCUUCGUCCGCUACCUGCCGCGCGAGGUGGACGACAACCGUCUGCGCGAGAUCUUCUCCGCCUUCGGCAAGAUCACCUCGUCGAUGGUGAUGCGCGACAUCUACAGUGGCCAGAGCCUUGGAACGGCGUUUGUGCGCUACGAGGAGCACGAGGAGGCGCUGCGCGCGAUGCGUGACGCCCACGGCAUGCCGCUGCUGGGCAAGACGGUGUCUGUGCAGUGGGCGAAGCAGCAGCACGACGACACACCAGCUGGGCAGGAGCGGCUGAAGAUGAACAAGCUGUUCCUGCGCAACGUGCCGCUGGAGGUCGCCGAGGAGGAUCUCGUCCGUCUUGUGAGUCCCUACGGUUCUGUGAGGAAGGUGACGAUGCACAACGACACAGCCCCGCUGAUCGACGCAACGGAGCGCCGCCGCAUCGUCUUCAUCACCUUUGCCGAGCAAGGCGCUGCAGAGGCUGCACUGCUCGCGGUGCACAACACCUGUGCCUUCCACCAGUGCCGUGGCAUCCCGCUAAUGGGGAAGCUGAUCAACGACGCCGUCAAGUCAAAGAGGCACCGUAUGAACGCUUCUCGGUCCCACAGCAUCCCCACCGAAUUUGCUACCAACAGUCCGACGAACGCUUCUGCGCGCUCCUCUCGCAUACCCGUCGCUCCGCUUAAUGCUGCAGACAUGAUGAAUGCGACACGAAAGAUGUCGCUGGAGUCGUUCAGCCCAUCCCAGGUGCCCCAGUUCAUCUCCUCCUCCGAGGAGUCUGUGACCAACACACCAAGUCGGUCCUGCGGUGGGUUGCAGUGGGACGUGGCGGCAGUGAUGCCCUCUCGUGCUUCCCCGGCGGCGGUCCCCCGGCCGAUCGGCUGCGACUCCUCGGACUCAUCCCUGCCGCGCAGCAGCAGUGACGUGAGCUACAGCUCGCGCUUCUGUCACAACCCGUACUCGCUGUUGGGUGAGAAGACGUAUGUGUAACGAAUUCAUGCGUGACUCAGUUUCUUCCUCGCCCUGCCUUCCUCUUCCUUAGACCCUCUCUGGCGUUUUUUUUUUUUGCUUCAGUGUGGGCGUCCUCUUUCCCUAGGGAUUGAUAGCAAACGCGAGGUCAGGUGGGAGAGGUCCAGCGAGACGUUCGAAGAGGUGACAAUGAAUCGCUGAGUUCGGAGGGGUAAGUGAUGGGUUUGCUUGUUUGCCUUGUAUUUGCUGGCCUCAACCAAUGUGACCCGGACUCUCUGUAGGCCCUGCAUUACACGCAUGAUCCCCGCUUUCCCCCGUCUGCUCUCUUUAGGUUUGAUGUUUUGUCGUUCAGCAGAUGCACUCGAGCGCACAGAAGUGCGUCCCCGCACACCUGCAUCAGUGUGCAGCCGCACAUACACACAUACACACAAAUACACAGACACAGGAAAUAAAGGCGUGAGGAUUGCUGUGGCUCAAGGUUGCGUCGCGCAUAUGGGCAUAAUCGCGGUGUACAAACUGCAGGGCAUACACACUCUCUCCCACACACACACGCCUACUCACCCACCCCAAGACGACCGCAUUCGUGCAUCGAGUGCACCGCAGCCCUGUGUAAUUCACGCGUUCGCUUGUGCGAAUGUUGUCUGCCUGCUUGCCUACCUGCCCCUCGCACCUUCUGCAGGCUUUCUCGCUUUUCCAUUCUUUGCGGCUGGGUGGCCCUCCCCAUGAGUGUCAUCAAGACACACUAGAAGAGAGGCCUUGUAUGUUUGUGUUCGGUCGUUGUGCGCCUGUGGACCCGUGGGCCUUUCUUUCUCUGUGUGUGUGGAGGGAGGGGGUGACGAUUGCUGUGCAUUUGAGCCUCAUGGACGGAGCGUGCGAGGGACUUUUGCGAAGCGCGAGCUGCGCGUCUACAGUUAUGCUUUUGCUUGUUCCAUUCUCCAUCCUGGGUGACACCCGCGACCCCGCACCCUCCCCUCACUGCCCCUCCAUCGCUUGAUCUAUACAUUUGUUUCACCGUCUUCAGUAAUAUUCAUACCUAUGUGUUUGUGGUCGUCGUUGUUUGCUUGUUUGAGCGUUUUCGAUUUUUUUUUUCUCAUUGUUGUAUCACCGGGGCGGUGGCCAUUGCCAUUGUACCGAAUGUCCUUCUUCCCUGGCUUUUGCCCUCGAUGACCUGCAGAUGAGCCCUCAUCGCCGACAUCGCCAGUGGCCGCACACCCUCCCCGCUUGCUGCAGCCAUUUCUUUUCCGCCUCCCCCCCCCGUCUCCCCAUUUUGCCUUUGCGCGCCUCAUGACGACCUUUUUGUAGAGGCAGUUGCGAGCGCAAGAAAGAGGGGUGGUGACGCGAGUUUGUUGGACUACGCCCCGUUCUUUCACCGCGGGUACGCACACAGCAACACACCUCUAGCGUCUGUGGCUGUGGAGACAUGCACUGUGAAGUGCACAGGAGUGGGAGGGACGCGAGAACCAACGGCGGCGCGGCGCAUGUGCAAGCUGCUGCAGGGGACAACAACAGAAGGAGAGCGACCUUUUGCACGCGACUGUCAUCCGUGAAGGAUUGACAGGGGUACGAUCGUGUGUAUAGGUGCUCUGGUGUCUGCGCAUGUCAGUUCUUCUCGUUUCAUAUCUACCACCGUGCAAGGCUCAUCAUUUUUCCGGGUUGUGCGUGCUCGCCGUCCGCACACUUAGCGGCUUCCCCUCCACUUCGUUUCUGCUCGUGUUGGGCAUACCUGCCGUCUUUUCCGCCUCAUCUCGCGCACGUUUCCACCGCAACCAUCAUCUGCGCCGAACUCCUGAACCUUUUUUUUUGCCCGUCCGUCACGCUGCACGUGGUUUUCGUCGCAGCUUUCCUCUUCUCGUCCUCUCUUCCGUUCUUUGCUGCGCGCCUUCCUGCGCCUUCAUCGGCCAGCCGUCUUCUUUUUCAUUUUCGUCCUUCCGGCCUCCAUUCGUCUCCCCUUCCUCCUCUUGACCUUGCCCUUCGACGUGCAUUCACCUUCCCGGUCUCAGUUCGCAACCCCUCGAAUCUUUGGCGUCCGGUGUCACCGCUGUGGCCCACGAACAGAGCCCUCUACCUUUCAAUAUGCAGACCCCAUCCCCCCACCUCAUCCUGACGCCUCCUAAGCGCCGCCCAGCAGACGGGAAGAAGCGACUGUACACAACGAAAAAAAAAACGGAAGUACGAGGGGAGGAGGGGAGGGGAGGCAAAAAAAAAGUCGAACGGGGAGGCGUACACGCACUCACACACAGAAAAGGCAUGAGGUGGACGAAGCGAAAGGCAGAAUGUAUCAAGAGCACGCAGAACGAAAGAAAAGUACAUGUAUACUCGCCAGCCAGAGCUAAAGCAUGCUGACCUACACACAAAAUUCUCGCCAGCCAUCCCGCCCCCUUCCUCCCUCUCUCUCACACACACAAUAGCGCGCAGUGGCGAGCGACUGCUCUUCUUGUAUCUCUCUUCUUCUCAUUGUUCCUUUCGCUCCGCUCUGCCCCCUGUCCUUCUGUCUUCUGCUCACCCUAUUCUUUUUUUUCUCUGUGUCUGUGCUCAUCUUCUUCCAACGUCCUCUACCGCCACCAUCCCCACCCGCCUCUUGCUUCUUCGCACGUUUGAUUCCCUCCAUUCCUGUCGUUUGUGUUCACAUAUGACGGGGGAGACACAUCUCCGCGCGUGGCAUCUCAGGGCCCAGCGGCCCCGCACCCUCUGUGUGGGUGGAGGAGGCCAAAGCAGCCCUCCUAUAUCCCUGCCAAAUGCCGAACCACUUGAGGUGGUGACCGGGCCAGGUGCCUACGACGUAGGGGGGAGGCGAGUGCGGUGCAUCCCUGCUGAUGUGGGCGGCCGUGCCCUGGACGGCGUGGCGUCGGGGCGACCUGCGACUGCGAACAGGUCUGUGCCCAUCCACGUGAUGGGCAGGGUGCCCACGGCACUUGAACGACUGUCUCGCCCCGGGCCCUCACACGGCCCACUGGUGAGGGAAGCGGCUGUGAGGCGACCUGCGCAGCGCGGGGUGGUGGGCGGAGUUUGAGGCGCAGGCCGUUCUGAAAUGACUGUGCUGGCAUUUUUGUGGCGCGCGUGUGAAGCGCUGCUUCGCCCCACACGCGGUGGUGGAGGCCUGUGGCGAGCCCUGGGUGGGCGGGAGUAGAGUGGAGGUUGGCCCACGUUCUGUGGCAGAGAAUGGGCGCGGCGAGAAUGCACGAAAGAGAACAUUUGUGCGCUGUGUAUCGGACUCCCUCUCUUGUUGUCCAUCAGCCAUCGGCCUCUUUCAGCUUCGUUGAUUUGUCUCCCGCUCAUCAUCCCCUCGUUUACUUCAGUCCUUCUCUAUCACUGACACUUCUGACUUUUUUCUACUGAGGUCCCGAAGAGCGGUCUUCUCUCGUGUUCCUCUGGAUGGCUUCGUGUAUGUGUGUGUGUGUGUGAUGUUCCACAUAUGGUUUAUUUUUGUUCUCUCUUUCUUUCUAUUAUUUGGCCUGGCUGUCACCGUGAUUUGUGGCGGUGGUGUGCAGGGCGAAGGGGUAGAUGCAUGACGGGUGCCCCCUUCUUCUUGGUUUCUGUCGCUUUCGGGCACUAUGACAGUGUACAUUCGUUUUCAUCGUUUUUUUUUCUCCGGCUUCGGGUUGAGCUAGAUUCUCAGCUGCCGAUGGGUGGUCGCUACCAGAUAGAGCAUUUUGGUUGAUGUUUUUCGUCGCAGAGCUUUUUCUCGUGCACUUGAACUCCAUGUGCACGCUUGCGGUUGUUCGCUCCUUUUUUUUUGUUCCUCAUCGGUUUUUCCAUAUUGGCGGCGCACCUCAUGGAGAGCUCGUUCGCGCGCGUGGGAGGGAGACAGAGAGGUGAUAGCGCAGAGUGGGCAGCAGAGGAUGAUUUUACUGUAGUGGAUCGUGCUAAGCGCGCGGCAGGGCGGCAUCUGAGAAAGACGGAGAACCGAAGAAAUACUGUGCGUAACUUUACCAUAUUGAAAGGUGGCGCGCGGUACUACUCUUUUUCCGAGUGUACCGUUCUUCUUUGGUAUGCUUCCCCGCGAGCACGUCACCGGCUCCUCCUGUUCCACGCCCCUUUGUCCGUUCUUUUUUUUUUCGUUUUGAAUCUCUCCCACCUCUUUUGUCGACGUUGUAAUCGCCAAAUUCGUCUGCCAUGUGAAGGGAAAGAAAGCGUAGAGCAAACCUUCACCUCCAUGCUGUGUGGAGGAAGCAGUAGCCGACGGACAUGAUCCGCACGGCGCAGCACGGCUACGGGAAAGAAAAUGGUCAUUAUGUACGGUUGUCGGGGCUGCGGAGAGGUGCGUCUUUUUUUUUGUUGGUUUCCGGUUUGCACCGUUUAUUCGCUCUGCCGUACUUUUUUCGUUGCUGUUGUGUGUGAUCAAUUCGCAUUCUCUUCCACCCGUCACGAAUCCGGGUGCCCCUCACGCACUCUUUCCUCAUGUGUGUGCGUGUGCGUGCGUCGCUCAGCGCGUCGAUGCCUUCUAUUUAUUUCUUUAUUUAUUGUCGUGUUCUUUUUAACACCUCCUCGCUUAAUCACCACGCACUCUCGGGUGGGCGAAAAGAAGCGACCCUUUGAGGCGAGGGCGCAGAGCGGCGGGGGACACGUAGGGGUUCAGUGUGUGAUUUGCAUAUUUUUCUGUUGCUUGCUUGACGGGCGUACCACCUAUUUCUUUUUCUUCGCAUGACGGGUCUCACCCUCUGCCCUUUUUGUUCGUGUCAUCGUUAGCGUUGGCUCUUCGGCUUGUUUGGUUUGCCAUUUGUUUUUUUUUUUCGCGUGCGCGUGCGUGUGUGUGCAUGUGCUGAUGCAUGUGACGGUGACCGUUGACGCAAAAGAAAAAGGAUGGAGAGUCUCUGCCCUUUCCCUCCUGCGUGAGUGUGAUUUGAACCCCCCUCCCCGCCUGCCCCCCGAAAGACACACACAUGCAUACAUAUGUAUAUAUGCGUGUAUGUAUAUAUGGACACUGUGAUGCACGUGCGUACGCGUUUGACACACAUAUAUCAAUACAAAUAACCAUGUGUAUAUGCAUAUACAUAUGCGUACACUCACACAUAGAUGUGGGUGCCGCCCAUUUGCGAGUCCAGCUUGUAUUUUGCACACCCUAUCCGGAGACGCUGCAGCAACCAGUCUGCAAAUCAUCAUGUGCAGCGGAAUUCACUAAUAAACGAGGUGCUCACCGUAAGCAGGGAAGAAUCGUACGCAAAUCGAAAGGCAUUAUGCGCGCCGAGGCACUCUCGCACGCACAGAAAAGGAGAGAGAAAGAGGUGGGCGUACGCAGGUAGGGCUGAAGAGGAGGUUCAGAUGUCUCACGAAAAACGAAAUGCGCAUCUGAUGCUAGAAAGAUUGUGGCAGAUACCGAAAGAGGGAGAGUUCGCUAUCUGAACCGCUGAUCUUUCUCAGCUACUUCCCUUUAUGCUCAUCACGAUACAUGCUCAUAUCUCUUUUUUUUUCUUUCGUUGUCUAUCCGGCCCUUUUGCCUCUCUCUCUCUCUGUGCAGGUGCUUGUGGAAGCUGCGCACGUAUUUCGCGCCAUCCGGUGACCUCCUUUUGUUUUGUCGGUGCUGGGUCAUUUUUUUUUGUUGUGCUACUGCUCUUGUUUCUCACAUUUUUUCUUUGCUACCGUCUUUCGUUCUUUUACGUCGCCGCUUUCGUCAGCUUCGUCUGACUCACUGCAUUUCUUCUCUAUUGCUGCGCGACCCCGUCCCCCUUCUCCAGACCAUCUCGAACCCUUGCAUCGCACGCUCGGCCGGGGAUUUCACUUCUUGCAUGACAGCACUCGCAGGAGACAGUAAAGGGAAAAAAAAGAUACCCAGACUGAAGAGCGGAAUCUACUUGCGGCAGACGAGGCUCAGCCUUGCGCUCUUCCUCUUUUUCACGGCUGCUCGUGUGUCGCUCUCUCUCUCGCGUGGUUGGCGUUGCCUUCUCUUUUUCCCGCUUGCCAUGGCCUAAACGCGUUUCACGCUUGAUGCACUCUCUGCUCUCGUUGUUUCGUUGAGGUGUUCCUUCUAAGGCAGAACUUGGUCGUUCUCCGCGUCAUUGUUGCCCUUUAUUGGGCAGUGCGUCGCACAGGCAGUGGUGCAGGGGCCAGGGCAACAAAGAAGAUGCUACCUGGAGGUUCACCGGUGUGGGAAAGGCUGAAGGAGGGAACUCAUUGCCCUCAAACAAGCAUCCGCCUUCCUUACAGCUCGGUCCUUUUUUUCGUUUUCGCCCCUCCCUCACCACAAUACAUCGUUGCGAAUGUAUCCCUGUGCUGACUUUUGUGGGUAGGGAGGGCACUCGGUAUCAACGCAUCCGCCUGGACAGCCUCGCAGGUCUUCUCUCCUUUCCACCUUGAUCUCUCGUCUUUUUUUUCUUCGCGCAAGAGUACCAGAUGGCGUGUGGCACCGCGAACCGGAUUGUGAGGGCGGGGGCAAGUGUGAGCAGUAGAAACCCCUUCCCCUCUGCCCCUCUUGGAAUCAGGGCGAAAGGGAGGCAUCAAAAUCCUUUGCAUAUGUGUUCUGUGGGCCAUCUACCGCCUUACCCUUUUUUUCAUCAGCUGCUGAUUGCCUUGCUUUUCAAUUCGACACUCAUGCUGGCACGUGAACUUUCCUAUUCUUCUUACAUGUGGUCGCACUCCACUCGCUCUUGAGUGCCUCGAAAUUCCGUCACGCCCCCACCACGCUUGAAGGAUUACCGCAAUGGCUUCAUAUUGUGUGUUCUACCACCUUGCGUCUAUCUCUCUCUGUACUUCAUCCUUGUUUUCGUGUUUUCUCUGUGCGAGCGCGUGCGCUGCUUACUUCUCUCUCGCAUGGUUUGGGGCUGGGCGUGCUCUCUCUGUCUUGUUCUCCCUUCCUUUUGCUGUAGUGUUUCUUUCUUUUUCUACUCUCCAUGCGUUUCUUACUGCCCGCUCUUUUUCGUUUUAGUUUGGUAUUUGCUUCCCUCGCGGUGCCAUCUCGCCUCUUGUCUCCCCCCUCCCCCCUCUGUGUCUGUGCGUGUGCGUUGGGGUCUUUUGAAUGAACAUGUUCAUCUUGGGUUUACUUUUCUCUCCUCUCUCCCCCACUGAUUUUCUGUCUCUCGGGACUUCUUCGAUACCAGUGCGCGCGUGCCUGCGCGUGCACGUGUGCGCGUGCGUGCAUCCCCCUCUCUGUGGGUGGAUAGGCCGUCGUUACUGUCUUCGGUUUUAUUUCUGUAUGCGUGUGUGUCCCCCCCCCACUCCUUCUUUUUCUUUCUUGUUGCCCUCUUGCACUGCUCAACCGGGCCUCGCCCUCUCUUUCAUCCCCCUCUCUCUGUCUUUUGAUGUUUCCGACACGGACUUUAGUUUGCUGUCGUCGGCGGUGGAGACGCGCGCGCAUCUGUACACAGACGUUCGUACACCCUGGAACACACGUAAGAUUGCUGAUUUUCGUCUCCUCUUCUGUAAGCGCAAUGUGUUCCACUGCCAGUGCUGUCGCGGUUACAUGCGCAUGCAUGCGCAGAACGUCGUAUCCGCCGUCUGAGAGCAACGAACAAAACACGUUGAAAGCCAAAGUAGAGGGCACACACACGCGCGCGCGCACAAAGGAGAGGAAAAAGAUUCAAGGGCGAAGUAGAUGGGUUGCGUAUCGCUCUGUGACAGCGCGCCAAGCGCAAGUCAGCAAUACCACCCACCCCAUCCCGUCCCCAUCCUCUCCUUCUCCGUCUACUCCAUUGCAGCAUAUACGCGACCUCGUUUAUGUCAGCGUGCGUGUGUGAGAGCUGUACUUGCUGUAUACCUGUGUGUGCACGUAUAUAUGUAUGUGCGUGUGUGUGUGUAUGUGUGGGGAAGGGGAGGGCAGUGCUUUUGAAACACCGUAGACAGUGAGGGAAGUGGUGGCCGGGUCAGAGCCUUCAACCGCCUCUUUUGCGGGAAGUAUGCGCACAGAAACGCAGCGGGCAAAGGAGCACGAGGGAGAAGAGAGCCCAAAGCAGCAGCAGUCGGUGAAGGAGGGAUAACACAGGAAACAGGCAGUUAAGGUUUACCUUUCUUGUUGCGUGCGUGUGUGCGUGUGUGUGUUUUGGGGGAAGGGGAGGGGGCGAGGCACAACGGAAAGCUGCGCGAUGGAGUGGCAAGCAGAUGGAAGAGCGUGCAGUGUGGCGGGUUGUAUAGAGGAGCCAUGCCAGGGCGUGUGCAAGAACCUGCGAACGAGCGAGUGCACACGCGCACAGCUGCACUUUCUCUUGCGCUGCCCUCCCCACCGCAGUGUCUUCCGACUGCUGUACGUGAGGUGCACCAUCGCCACCUCUUUUUUCUUCUCACACCCUCUUUUAUUAUCCCCUUGGCUUCACGGCUUGCUUUGUCAUCUGUGCUUGUCAUCUCGCGCCUCUCGCGCCCACUUGCGCGGCUGCCCACAGACCCCGCCUUCCAUCUAAUUUUACUUUACGGCUUUCUCUCCCUCUUUUUAACGGAAAAUUCUUUUUUUUCCCGACUGUUCCUUCACGCAUGCUCAAUGGGUCCAAGUGAAGACAAG